rnacentral:rRNA from 1 species
GUAAUGAUGGCCAGGCUGUCUCCACCCGAGACUCAGUGAAAUUGAACUCGCUGUGAAGAUGCAGUGUACCCGCGGCAAGACGGAAAGACCCCGUGAACCUUUACUAUAGCUUGACACUGAACAUUGAGCCUUGAUGUGUAGGAUAGGUGGGAGGCUUUGAAGUGUGGACGCCAGUCUGCAUGGAGCCGACCUUGAAAUACCACCCUUUAAUGUUUGAUGUUCUAACGUGGACCCGUUACCCGGGUUGCGGACAGUGUCUGGUGGGUAGUUUGACUGGGGCGGUCUCCUCCUAAAGAGUAACGGAGGAGCACGAAGGUUGGCUAAUCCUGGUCGGACAUCAGGAGGUUAGUGCAAUGGCAUAAGCCAGCUUGACUGCGAGCGUGACGGCGCGAGCAGGUGCGAAAGCAGGUCAUAGUGAUCCGGUGGUUCUGAAUGGAAGGGCCAUCGCUCAACGGAUAAAAGGUACUCCGGGGAUAACAGGCUGAUACCGCCCAAGAGUUCAUAUCGACGGCGGUGUUUGGCACCUCGAUGUCGGCUCAUCACAUCCUGGGGCUGAAGUAGGUCCCAAGGGUAUGGCUGUUCGCCAUUUAAAGUGGUACGCGAGCUGGGUUUAGAACGUCGUGAGACAGUUCGGUCCCUAUCUGCCGUGGGCGCUGGAGAACUGAGGGGGGCUGCUCCUAGUACGAGAGGACCGGAGUGGACGCAUCACUGGUGUUCGGGUUGUCAUGCCAAUGGCACUGCCCGGUAGCUAAAUGCGGAAGAGAUAAGUGCUGAAAGCAUCUAAGCACGAAACUUGCCCCGAGAUGAGUUCUCCCUGAGACUUAGAGUCUCCUGAAGGAACGUUGAAGACGACGACGUUGAUAGGCCGGGUGUGUAAGCGCAGCGAUGCGUUGAGCUAACCGGUACUAAUGAACCGUGAGGCUUAACCUUACA